rnacentral:rRNA from 1 species
AACGAACGCUGGCGGCAUGCCUAACACAUGCAAGUCGAACGAGACCUUCGGGUCUAGUGGCGCACGGGUGCGUAACGCGUGGGAACCUGCCUUUAGGUUCGGAAUAACUCAGAGAAAUUUGAGCUAAUACCGGAUGAUGUCUUCGGACCAAAGAUCUAUCGCCUUUAGAUGGGCCCGCGUUGGAUUAGCUAGUUGGUGGGGUAAAGGCCUACCAAGGCGACGAUCCAUAGCUGGUCUGAGAGGAUGAUCAGCCACACUGGGACUGAGACACGGCCCAGACUCCUACGGGAGGCAGCAGUGGGGAAUAUUGGACAAUGGGCGAAAGCCUGAUCCAGCAAUGCCGCGUGGGUGAUGAAGGCCUUAGGGUUGUAAAGCUCUUUUACCCGAGAUGAUAAUGACAGUAUCGGGAGAAUAAGCUCCGGCUAACUCCGUG